rnacentral:rRNA from 1 species
GACGAACGCUGGCGGCGUGCUUAACACAUGCAAGUCGAACGGAAAGGCCUGCUUUCCCUUGUGGAUUGCGGGUACUCGAGUGGCGAACGGGUGAGUAACACGUGAGUGAUCUGCCCCCAACUUGGGUAUAAGCCUGGGAAACUGGGUCUAAUUCCCGAUAGGACUGCAGGGUGGUGCCUGUGGUGGAAAACGAUUUUCUAGUGGUUGGGGAUGAGCUCGCGGCCUAUCAGCUUGUUGGUGGGGUAAUGGCCUACCAAGGCGGCGACGGGUAGCCGGCCUGGGGGGGUGGGCGGCCACAUUGGGACUGAGAUACGGCCCAGACUCCUACGGGAGGCAGCAGUGGGGAAUAUUGCACAAUGGGCGGAAGCCUGAUGCAGCGACGCCGCGUGGGGGAUGACGGCCUUCGGGUUGUAAACUCCUUUCGACCGCGAGGAAGCCACCUGGUUGGAAGGGUGGUGACGGUAGUGGUAGAAGAAGCACCGGCUAACUACGUG